rnacentral:rRNA from 1 species
UACGUAGGUGGCAAGCGUUGUCCGGAAUUACUGGGCGUACAGCGCGCGCAGGCGGUCUUGGACGUGCCGUGUGACAUCCGUCGGCUCAACCGACGGAGGCCAGGGUACACGACAAGACUGGAGACAGAGAGAGGGAUGUGGAAUACCCGGUGGAGCGGUGAAAUGCGUAGAGAUCGGGUGGAACACCAGUGGCGAAGGCGGCUUUCUGGUCUGUAACUGACGCUGAGGCGCGAAAGCGUGGGGAGCAAACAGG